rnacentral:rRNA from 1 species
GCAGCCGCGGUAAAACGUAGGAGACGAGCGUUAUCCGGAUUUACUGGGCGUAAAGAGCGUGUAGGAGGCAUAUCAAGUUGGAUGUAAAAUCUCCCGGCUUAACUGGGAGGCGUCGUUCAAAACUGAUGAGCUAGAGUACUGUAGAGGUAAUCGGAACUCCGGGAGUAGCGGUGAAAUGCGUAGAUAUCCGGAAGAACACCAGAGGCGAAAGCGGAUUACUGGACAGAAACUGACACUGAGACGCGAAAGCCAGGGUAGCAAACGGGAUUAGAUACCCC